UCUAUAUUCAUUUCGUUUGCUCAACUUUAUAAUAAUAACAAUAGUAAAAUAACUAUGAAAAUUCAAUAUUUCAACCUUUGCCCACCGUAGGGGCAUUGUGACACUCCUGCAGGAUUCUCUGUCGACCGCGAAGUCUGAGUUCUUCUCAGGCUCCUCAGUAACCUUUUGCCGCAUGCAUGCGGUCCAUCCGCAGGCUAGCUGCUUUUCGACAGCCUGACAGCAUGACUCUAAUGGCUGCCUGGAUAGGGCACCUGCUACCACGUUCAGCUUCCCUCGCCGGUACUGCACUUCAAACUGGAACCUCUGAAACUCAAGGGCCCAUCGAACGAUCCUUCCAUAUGGACUCCCUAUCGAAUUGAGACAUUUGUUUGCCAUGUGGUCGGUGAUAACGUCGUCCCUUCAAAUAGUACCUCAACUGGCGGAUUGACCAUUAUAUAGCCAGACACUCCUUUCCCGUGGCCGAAAAGUUGAUAACGCUCACGUCCGUCUGCGCCAUGAAUUUCUUGCUGAAAUCAGGGCAGGCGAGGAUCGGCGCUGUCGUGAAUCGCACCAUAAAUUGUUCCAAGGCGGCCUGCUGCUUCACACCCCACGACAAUGCCUUCCCCCUCUUCAGGAGAGCGGUCAUUGUCUGCACUUCUGACGGGAAAUUGGGCACGAAGCGUCGAUACCACAAGGCCAUUCCCAAGCACUGCCGCAGCUCUUUACAAUUCGACGGGCCGUCAGCCUCAGAGUGCAAUUCGAAGGGCAUCACAUUCCACUGAUCCAGUGUCGAAAUGUAAGAUGUGGUUUAUCCGGGAUACGGGGUAUGCGUCCGGGAUCGAAUGUGCGUUGAGCUGCCUAUAGUCGGUGCAUAUUCGCCAUUCCCCCGUCUUUUUCUUUUCUACACGAUCGGCGCGCUGUACGGGCUUCGAAGGGCUCGAUGACUACCGGGGCAUGCUUUGUACUGAACAGAAAAUAAAGGUUAAAUAGAACAGAA